rnacentral:rRNA from 1 species
UACGUAGGCAGCAAGCGUUGUUCGGAGUUACUGGGCGUAAAGAGUGCGUAGGUGGUGCCCUAAGUCUGUUGUGAAAUCUCCCGGCUUAACUGGGAGGGUGCGGUGGAAACUGGGGUGCUUGAGUGUGGGAGAGGUAAGCGGAAUUCCUGGUGUAGCGGUGAAAUGCGUAGAUAUCAGGAGGAACACCGGUGGUGUAGACGGCUUACUGGACCACGACUGACACUGAGGCACGAAAAGCGUGGGUAGCAAACAGG